rnacentral:rRNA from 1 species
GACGAACGCUGGCGGCGUGCUUAACACAUGCAAGUCGAACGGUAAGGCCCUUCGGGGUACACGAGUGGCGAACGGGUGAGUAACACGUGGGUGAUCUGCCCUGCACUUCGGGAUAAGCCUGGGAAACUGGGUCUAAUACCGGAUAGGACCACUGCCUGCAUGGGUGGUGGUGGAAAGCUUUUGCGGUGUGGGAUGGGCCCGCGGCCUUGCAGCUUGUUGGUGGGGUGAUGGCCUACCAAGGCGACGACGGGUAGCCGGCCUGGGAGGGUGACCGGCCACCAUGGGACUGGGAUACGGCCCAGACUCCUACGGGAGGCAGCAGUGGGGAAUAUUGCACAAUGGGCGCAAGCCUGGUGCAGCGACGCCGCGUGAGGGAUGACGGCCUUCGGGUUGUAAACCUCUUUCAGCACCGACGAAGCGCAAGUGACGGUAGGUGCAGAAGAAGGACCGGCCAACUACGUGCCAGCCGCCGCGGUAAUAC